UGAUACAACGUUCAUCUAUAGUUCUUCUC
rnacentral:piRNA from 1 species